AGAGUUUGAUCAUGGCUCAGAAUCAACGCUGGCGGCGCGCUUAACACAUGCAAGUCGCACGAGAAAGUGGAGCAAUCCAUGAGUACAGUGGCGUACGGGUGAGUAACACGUGGGUGAUCUACCUUCUGGUGGGGACUAACCCUGGGAAACCGGGGCUAAUACCGCAUAACCUCGAGAGAGGAAAGCAGCAAUGCGCCGGAAGAGGAGCCCGCGGCCGAUUAGCUAGUUGGCAGGGUAAGAGCCUACCAAGGCAGAGAUCGGUAGCCGGCCUGAGAGGGCACACGGCCACACUGGCACUGAAACACGGGCCAGACUCCUACGGGAGGCAGCAGUGGGGAAUCUUGCACAAUGGGGGCAACCCUGAUGCAGCGACGCCGCGUGAGCGAUGAAGCCCUUCGGGGUGUAAAGCUCUUUCGGCAGGGAAGAUGAUGACGGUACCUGCAGAAGCAGCUGCGGCUAACUACGUGCCAGCAGCCGCGGUAAUACGUAGGCAGCGAGCGUUGUUCGGAGUUACUGGGCGUAAAGGGUGUGUAGGCGGUUCUUUAAGUUUGGUGUGAAAUCUCCCGGCUCAACCGGGAGGGUGCGCCGAAUACUGAGGGACUUGGAGUGCGGGAGAGGAAAGUGGAAUUCCUGGUGUAGCGGUGAAAUGCGUAGAUAUCAGGAGGAACACCGGUGGUGUAGACGGCUUUCUGGACCGUAACUGACGCUGAGACACGAAAGCGUGGGUAGCAAACAGGAUUAGAUACCCUAGUAGUCC
rnacentral:rRNA from 1 species